rnacentral:lncRNA from 1 species
AGAAGUGCGCGUGGCCACAGCGGCGCCUCCUGCCCUUUAGCCGCCGCUGGCCCAACGGUUUCCCCAGCAGUAGCCUCUGCGACCAGGUCAUUUUUUCCAGGACACUUUCUGUCUUCAUGACAGGAACAUCGAGAAGCCAAGGCUAGUGGCUGGGUUACUGAUGGAUUACUGAUGGAUUCUUCUCAGGCAAGUGGAAAGCAGACCUAACUUCAAAAUGUUAUGCUUGUAGCCAUCAUCGGUAGCCUUACCUUGUUAUCGUGUAUUCAAGCAUCUUAAAGAAAUGAUGGUCCUGCUCAGGAAAUAACUCCCCAGAACAUCAAAGGAGAUGGUACUUAGCUGAAGCUGGCAUGUAUUUAAUGGUUUAGCACUUAGUGACCUUUGAGGAUGUGGCUGUGGACUUUACCCAGGAGGAGUGGACUUUGUUGGAUCAAGCCCAGAGAGAUCUCUACAGAGAUGUGAUGUUGGAGAACUACAAGAAUCUCAUUAUACUAGCAGGGUCUGAAUUAUUCAAACGUAGUCUCAUGUCUGGAUUGGAACAAAUGGAAGAGCUGAGGACAGGAG